UAUAAAUUUUCUUUGUCAACGAUUUUCAUUUAGCAUUUUAUCAAGUUAAUAUUUACACAUUUCCUAUUUGGUACUUUUCUUAGAGAUUUUAGCAGGAUAAAUUUUAGAUGCCAAGUAACAAAACCAUAUUUAAAGUUAAGUGCAAUAUUAAAAAUUGCAAAACUUCUAAAAUAAGAAGUGACAAGAUACAUGAACAUUAUAAACAUAAACAUCCUCAUGUCAAGCCAGCUGAUAUGAAAUUUACAAAGGUAGCCAUCAAAAGAGAUAAUAAUAAUUGGGUAUCUUUAAAUUGUGAUAUUCCAUAUAAUAUCACAAAUGGAGUUGAAACCCAGUUGCAAAAAAAGACAAUAACAUCUUACUUCCAAAAAAAAAUCUCAGUUAUUGAAGAUUCACAAAUUGUAUUAUCUCCUCAUCCAAUCCCCAGUUCCAGUGAGGUGUUUACUUUGUAUGAUGAGCAAAUCUCCAAUAUUGAAGAUUCACAAAUUGUAUUAUCUUCUCAUCCAAUCCCCAGUUCCAGUGAGGCGCUUACUUUGCAUGAUGAGGUAUUUAAUUUAAAUACGAAUUAUAUGAUAACUUUUGAAGAAAAUAAAUUAGGACAUUUAAAUAUUUCCAACAUUUAUUGAUUAACUUAAUUAUA